CGUAAAUAAAAUAUUUUUUUUUAAUAAUUUGCAGAGAAUCCUUUGCAGGUAAUGACUGUAACUAAUGGACGUCACCAAACACUGGGUUUCCUCCUUUGCGAUGCUAGACCUUUACUGUAGCUGCCUUCAGUCAUUGUUUGUUCGUGGGUCUUUCUGAAGUUAUGUCUUCAGCAAGUAAAAUGCAUGCUUGAUCGGGUUGAGAUCAGGUGAUUGCAGAAUAUUCCACUUCUUUGCCUAAACCCUUCCUGUAGUUUGGAUGUGAAUACCCUCAAAUUAAAGCAGAGAGAUUGAACUUUAAGUCCAUAUUCUUUGUUUAACUGUAACAAAUGUAUUUUGGCAAACAGCUGAAAUAACAAAACAUAUGUCAGGGUACAAAUAGUUCCGAACCUAACUGUAUAUUAGUCAUUGGAAGUAG